CCUACGGGAGGCAGCAGUAGGGAAUCUUGCACAAUGGGCGCAAGCCUGAUGCAGCAACACCGCGUGAAUGAAGAAGGCCUUCGGCUUGUAAAGCUCUGUUGUUGGAGAAGAACGUUGGUGAGAGUAACCCUUUACGCAUUGACGGUAUCCAACCAGAAAGUCACGGCUAACUACGUGCCAGCAGCCGCGGUAAUACGUAGGUGGCAAGCGUUAUCCGGAUUUAUUGGGCGUAAAGCUAGCGCAGGCGGUUUGUUAGGUCUGAUGUGAAAGCCUGCGGCUUAACCGAAGAAGUGCAUCGGAAACCGGCCGACUUGAGUGCAGAAGAGGUCAGUGGAACUCCAGGUGUAGCGGUGAAAUGCGUAGAUAUCUGGAAGAACACCAGUGGCGAAGGCGGCUGACUGGACGGCAACUGACGUUGAGGCUCGAAAGCGUGGGUAGCAAACAGGAUUAGAGACCCGAGUAGUC
rnacentral:rRNA from 1 species